rnacentral:lncRNA from 1 species
GCACAACUGAGUUGCUUUUAAGAGAUGAAAAAAGGGAUAUCGGUAUACAAAAAAAAUAAAUUACAUACUGUAUAUACAUAUUUAUUUAUUUAUUUAUUUAGUCUACUUGUGCGUCCAUACAUAAAUGAGUAAUUUUUUUAUAUGUUAAUUUUUUAUUAGCACUUAAAUGGGACAGCUUUACCACCAAAAUAUUUGUGGCGAAUACACUAGCAUUUAGCUCAAUGUCUAUGAUGUCUUUUUAUGGGAUAUUCUCGUAUAUUAUAAACACGACUAAAAUGGCUAAUGAAGCAUUGCUAGCCAUAGUUGUUUUUAGUUAUGCCAUGAACUUAAUAUUUGUGUUUCUACAAUUUGUACAUGUAUUAUUAAAAAUAAUAAGUAUCAAUACUAUUCAGAUCGGCAAUUAUUUAGUGUUUACAAGCCCCGUUUUAACAUGUAUGCUAGAUUUAAUAUCAGCAAGAACGAAAUUAAUUUUGAAAAAAGCUUUAGUCGAUACUGGUGGCAAAAAAAAAAAAAAACAUCAACAAAGUAUGGACCAUAUAAUGUACCCAGGAGGUAACUUUUUUUUUUUUUUUUUUUUCUUUUUUUCACAAUACAUACAUGUAUACAAACAUAUAUAUGUAAAAAAAUAAGAUAAAACCAAAUAAAAUGGAGCAGAUUUAAUAGUUGUAUUGUUAU